rnacentral:rRNA from 1 species
GACGAACGCUGGCGGCGCGCUCAACACAUGCAAGUCGAGCGAGAACCCAGGCUUCGGCCUGGGGGAAAGCGGCGAACGGGUGAGUAAUACGUGGGUAAUCUGCCCUCGGCAUCGGGAUAGCCCGGGGAAACCCGGAUUAAUACCGAAUGGCCCAUCUGCUCUUCGGAGCGGCUGGAAAAGGUAGCUUUGGCCUCCGGCCGAGGAGGAGCCCGCGGCGGAUUAGCUUGUUGGUGAGGUAACGGCUCACCAAGGCGACGAUCCGUAGCUGGUCUGAGAGGACGAUCAGCCACACUGGGACUGAGACACGGCCCAGACUCCUACGGGAGGCAGCAGUGGGGAAUCUUGCGCAAUGGGCGAAAGCCUGACGCAGCGACGCCGCGUGCGGGAAGAAGGCCUUCGGGUUGUAAACCGCUUUCAGGAGGGACGAAGCCACUCGGGUUAAUAGCCCAGAGGGUGACGGUACCUCCAGAAGAAGCCCCGGCUAACUACGUGCCAGCCGCCGCGGUAAUAC